UCCCUGUUGCCAGGGCAGUCUAGCUAGAAAAAUUCAACUAACUAUAAGGGUUGCGCUCGUUGAUGGACUUAACCAAACAUCUCACGACACGAGCUGACGACGGCCAUGCAACACCUGUCACUGCAUUCCAAAAGGCACAUUCUACUUUCGUAGAACUUCGCAGGAUGUCAAGCCUGGGUAAGGUUCUUCGCUUACCAUCGAAUUAAACAACACGCUCCACCGCUUGUGCGGGUCCCCGUCAAUUCCUUUAUGUUUUAGUCUUGCGACCGUACUCCACAGGCGGGAUGCUUAACGCGUUAGCUUCGCUACAAGCCGGGUCGAUACGGCUUACAGCUAGCAUCCAUAGUUUACGGCGUGGACUAC
rnacentral:misc_RNA from 1 species